rnacentral:rRNA from 1 species
CAAACGACUCUCGGCAACGGAUAUCUCGGCUCAUGCAUCGAUGAAGAACGUAGCAAAAUGCGAUACUUGGUGUGAAUUGCAGAAUCCCGUGAACCAUCGAGUUUUUGAACGCAAGUUGCGCCCGAAGCCUUUUGGUUGAGGGCACGUCUGCCUGGGCGUCACAC